rnacentral:lncRNA from 1 species
GGGCAAAGCCGCGCCCAAAAAUAACCGCCCGUAGGCCGGGACGCCAGGUUCGUCCAACGGAAAAAGGCCACAAAAACGGGUGGGCUAUAGCCUUGGGGGGUGGGGCUGGCCAACUUCGUCCGCCGGACUCGGAAUGCCGCGAGACUUUGCGAGGGGCCUCCGUGUACCAAAAAUAGGCCGCGACCAAAGCCGCGCCCAAAAAUAACCGCCCGAAGGCCGGGGCGCCAAGUUCGUCCAGCGGAAAAAGGCCACAAAAACGGGUGGGCUAUAGCCUUGGGGGGUGGGGCUGGCCAACUUCGUCCGCCGGACUAGGAAUGGCACGAGACAUUGCGAGGUGCCUCCGUAUGCCAAAAAUAGGCAUUGGGCACAUCCGCGCCCAAAAAUAACCGCCCGAAGGCCGGGGCGCCAAGUUCGUCCAGCGGAAAAAGGCCACAAAAACGGGUGGGCUAUAGCCUUGGGUGGUGGGGCAGGCCAACUUCGUCCGCCGGACUCGGAAUGCCGCGACACUUUGCGAGGGGCCUCCGUGUUCCAAAAAUAGAUCGCGGGCAAAGCCGCGCCCAAAAAUAACCGCCCGUAGGCCGGCGCGCCAGGUUCGUCCAGCGGAAAAAGGCCACAAAAACGGGUGGGCUAUAGCCUUGGGGGGUGGGGCUGGCCAACUUCGUCCGCCGGACUCGGAAUGCCGCGAGACUUUGCGAGGGGCCUCCGUGUACCAAAAAUAGGCCGCGGCAAAAGCCGCGCCCAAAAAUAACCGCCCGAAGGCCGGGGCACCAAGUUCGUCCAGCGGAAAAAGGCCACAAAAACGGGUGGGCUAUAGCCUUGGGGGGUGGGGCUGGUCAACUUCGUCCGCCGGACUCGGAAUGCCGCGAGACUUUGCGAGGGGACUCCGUGCGUCAAAAAUAGGCCGCGGGCGAAGCCAUGCCCAAAAAUAACCGACCGAAGGCUGGGGCGCCAACUUCGUCCAGCGGAAAAAGGCCACAAAAACGGGUGGGCUAUAGCCUUGGGUGGUGGGGCAGGCCAACUUCGUCCGCCGGACUCGGAAUGCCGCGACACUUUGCGAGGGGCCUCCGUGUUCCAAAAAUAGAUCACGGGCAAAGCCGUGCCCAAAAAUAACCGCCCGAAGGCCGGGGCACCAAGUUCGUCCACCGGAAAAAGGCCACAAAAACGGGUGGGCUAUAGCCUUGGGGGGUGGGGCUGGUCAACUUCGUCCGCCGGACUCGAAAUGCCGCGAGACUUUGCGAGGGGACUCCGUGCGUCAAAAAUAGGCCGCGGGCGAAGCCAUGCCCAAAAAUAACCGACCGAAGGCUGGGGCGCCAACUUCGUCCAGCGGAAAAAGGCCACAAAAACGGGUGGGCUAUAGCCUUGGGGGGUGGGGCUGGCCAACUUCGUCCGCCGGACUCGGAAUGGCGCGAAACUUUGCGAGGCACCUCCAUGUACUAAAAAUAGGCCGUGGGCACAGCCGCGCCCCAAAAUAACCGCCUGAAGGCCGGGGCGCCAAGUUUGUCCAGCGGAAAAAGGCCACAAAAACGGGUGGGCUAUAGCCUUGGGGGGUGGGGCUGGCCCAUUUCAUCCGCCGGACUUGGAAUGGCGCGAGACUUUGCGAGGCGACUCCGUGUGCCAAAAAUAGGCCGUGGGCACAGCCGCACCCAAAAAUAACUGCCCGAAGGCCGGGGCGCCAAGUUCGUCCAGCGGAAAAAGACGACAAAAACGGGUGGGCUAUAGCCUUGGGGGGUGGGGCUGGCCAACUUCGUCCGCCGGACUCGGAAUGGCGCGAGACUUUGCGAGGCGCCUCCGUGUGCCAAAAGUAGGCCGCGGGCACAGCCGCACCCAAAAAUAACCGCCGGAAGGCCGGGGCGCCAGGUUCGUCCAGCGGAAAAAGGCCACAAAAACGGGUGGGCUAUAGCCUCGGGGGGUGGGGCUGGCCAACUUCGUCCGCCGGACUCGGAAUGCCGCGACACUUUGCGAGGGGCCUCCGUGUGCCAAAAAUAGGCCGCGGGGAAAGCCGCGCCCAAAAAUAACCACCCGAAGGCCGGGGCGCCAACUUCGUCCAGCGGAAAAAGGCCAUAAAAACGGGUGCGCUAUAGCCUUGGGGGGUGGGGCUGGCCAACUUCGUCCGCCGGACUCGGAAUGCCGCGAGACUUUGCGAGGGGACUCCGUGUGCCAAAAAUAGGCCGCGGGCAAAGCCAUGCCCAAUAAUAACCGCCCGAAGGCCGGGGCGCCAUGUUCGUCCAGCGGAAAAAGCCCACAAAAACGGGUGGGCUAUAGCCUU